rnacentral:rRNA from 1 species
AUUGAACGCUGGCGGCAUGCCUUACACAUGCAAGUCGAACGGUAACAGGUCUUCGGAUGCUGACGAGUGGCGAACGGGUGAGUAAUACAUCGGAACGUGCCUAGUAGUGGGGGAUAACUACUCGAAAGAGUGGCUAAUACCGCAUGAGAUCUACGGAUGAAAGCAGGGGAUCGCAAGACCUUGUGCUACUAGAGCGGCCGAUGGCAGAUUAGGUCGUUGGUGGGAUAAAAGCUUACCAAGCCGACGAUCUGUCGCUAGUCUGAGAGGACGAUCAGCCACACUGGGACUGAGACACGGCCCAGACUCCUACGGGAGGCAGCAGUGGGGAAUUUUGGACAAUGGGCGCAAGCCUGAUCCAGCAAUGCCGCGUGCAGGAUGAAGGCCUUCGGGUUGUAAACUGCUUUUGUACGGAACGAAAAGCCCUGGGUUAAUACCCUGGGGUCAUGACGGUACCGUAAGAAUAAGCACCGGCUAACUACGUGCCAGCAGCCGCCGUAAAAC